rnacentral:lncRNA from 1 species
AAUCAACACUGUUCCUCCCCACAAAAAAUGCCUUGGGAAUAUAAUAGGCAUAUACUUCAUUUGUGUAACUUUUCCUAAUGUAUUUUUUUUAAUUUGCUUUAUAACGGUUUCAUGUUUGUUUACCUCAAUUGGUAGUCUUAAAAUCUGUAUAUUUGGUUAUUGAUGAAUCUUCUGUAGCUCUUAUGUAGCCAGUGAGACAGAUGAGGGCUGUCAGCUUUUAAGUGACAUCUUAAGCUAAUAAGAAAUUGCAAUCCUCAAGUCAUUUCUUGAGGCUGUUACCCUUUAAGACAAAUAAUACUUCCCUCAAAUAGUUCAGAAAAUUUUUAAAAGGAUCAAUUACAGCACAAGUGUAAAAUUCUUGCUUCUAGUAUAUAAUAGUGAUGUUACCAUGUUAAGUAUUUUGAUGAAAUAUCCCCUAAAGAUGUGUAGACUAUGGCGCAGAAUCAGUAUGCAAGCCUUAGCUUGAAUGAGACUGCUGAAAAGUAAAUGACAGGGAUCUGAAUACUUAGAAGGCUUAACUUUUUGCAGGGAAGGAAAGGCUAUGUAUGCAAAAGAAUAGGUUGUAACUACUGAAGAGCUACUUUUAUGCUCAGAAAUCUUUUAUUCCACUUUGUAUCCAAGAUUUCAUUAAAACAUUGUUCCUUAGAGCAUACUUUUAAGAACUAUUUGGUAAGGAAUCCACUGUCGAACUUCAGGUCUUAAUAGCACUGGCUUUGGUGUUAAACUGAGUUGAAUUCCAAGCCUGUUGGCCAUUCCCAGCAUUGCCACUGCUGUAUUAGUUUUCUCAUCUGUAAAUAACAGUGCCUACAUCUCACAGGGCCUCUAAUAGUUAAAUAGAUUGUAAGCUGCACAAGCAUAGGGACAGUCUGUCUUUUGUAAACCUCCCAUGCACACAAUAGACAAUCAAAUAUUCUUGAACAAAUGAAGUCACUAAGUGCUUAUUAAAUUUCAUUUUAAAUACAUGCCUCUGUUAAUUCAUGGAUCUUGGAACUUACUUAAAAGACAAUGCUUUGACUGACAUUUCCACAUUCCUCAUAGGGAUUUACUUUUUGAUACAAACAGGUUCAGUUAACAUUGCCAUACACAUCUCAUUACUUUUGGGAGUGCUUUUCCAGAAAUCUCUGGUACAGUCACGUCACUUCAUGAUGGGGCUGUGUUCUGAGAAAUGUAUCUUUGGGUGAUUUCAUCACUGUAUGAACAUCACAGAGUGUACUUACACAGAUCCUGAUGGUAUGUAUAUAGCCUGUUACACACUUAGGCUAUACAGAUAGCCUAGCCUAUUAUUCUUCAGCUACAGCACUGUACAGAAUGUUACUGUAAUCAUACUGUAGGCAACUGUAACACAAUGGUAAACAUUUGUAUAUUCAGACAUAGAAAAGGUACAGUAAAAACAUGGUAUAAUCUUAUGAGACCACCCUUAUAUAUACAAUGUCACUGACCAAAAUGUUAUGUGGUGCCAUGACUAUACUUGUUAAGAAGGCAAAUUCCAAUCCUUUUGACCCAUGGUAG